GACGAACGCUGGCGGCGUGCUUAACACAUGCAAGUCGAACGGACAGACAGAGAGCUUGCUCUCUUGAAGUUAGUGGCGAACGGGUGAGUAACGCGUAAUCAACCUGCCCUUCAGAGGGGGAUAACAACGGGAAACCGUUGCUAAUACCGCGUACGAUUCAUGAACGGCAUCGUUUAUGAAUGAAAGGUGGCCUCUAUGUAUAAGCUAUCGCUGAAGGAGGGGAUUGCGUCUGAUUAGCUAGUUGGAGGGGUAACGGCCCACCAAGGCAAUGAUCAGGAGCCGGUCUGAGAGGAUGAACGGCCACAUUGGGACUGAAACACGGCCCAAACUCCUGCGGGAGGCAGCAGUGGGGAAUCUUCCGCAAUGGACGAAAGUCUGACGGAGCAACGCCGCGUGAGUGAUGAAGGUCUUCGGAUUGUAAAGCUCUGUUAAUCGGGACGAAAGAGUUCUGCGUGAAUAAUGCAGAAAAGUGACGGUACCGGAAUAGAAAGCCACGGCUAACUACGUGCCAGCCGCCGCCGUAA
rnacentral:rRNA from 1 species